UCAGUUUUAAUUGACAGUAAUGAAAAUUUUCCAAAAUAAGACCCCUUCAUCUCUUCGUUGCGUCGGUGCCUUUUCCCUUCCCUCUUCCUUCAAUGAAAUCAUUUCAGCUUUUUACAUUAUAUCUCUCUCUCAUUUCACUCUCUCUCUCUAAACCUUUCUCUCAAUUUUCUCUGUGAGUUCAUAGUGUUCACCAACGGUAAUUCUUUAGUUAUGUUAAUAUGUUAUCGAUAGCCAUCGAUUCUUCAUGGGUUUUCUGUUACUGAAUCUUUUGGGGGAGCUUUUCGUUGGAAUCUUCGUCUGGGGUUUCAUCUGGGUUGCAUUCUUAGUUGUGUUCAUCAUGUUCAUAGUUGUAUGUGCUACUCUCUCAUUUGUUUCCGCUCUGAUGGUUAUGAUGGUGUAUGCUGAUAAGGUUAAAUCUGGUGAAAUCUCAGUUCCUUGAGAGAAUUCUGCAAUAAAUGUUUCUCAGCAGCCUCAGCCUUGAGAUUUUCAACCUCAGAUUUUGAAGCAGCUUAUCCUGCUUUUUGUUCCUUGAGCUGUUCUUCAUGGUUGGAUAUCACUUGCUGGAGUUCCUUCUUAGUAUUUUGAUGCACUUCAUUAAGCAAGCGGUUCUCAUCCAUAAGUGAAGAUAACUGUGGCAAACGGAUGUAGCUAAUAACCAUAAAGCAACAAUAUUUAGCUGCAAAAUAAUUACAAAAAAGUUUGGUGCAACCUGAGAUUGUAGUUUCUGCCCUUCAGAAGAAUGCUGCUGCGUUAAAUCUUCUAUAAUCCUUUUUGCAGCCCGAAGUUGUUCAACGGCAGUGGAAUAUUCUGCUUUAAGGUAGGACUCGUAUGUAGUAGGCCCACCACCACCACUGCUAAGAUCGGCGAGCAUGAUCGCAGACACCACAGCCACGCCCACGAGGAACUCUGACGUGGAGCUUCUACAGGGAUGAUCCAUAUAGUAAACGAUCGUAGAUGGUAUAAGAUGGGUGGUGCAGGUGUUACAAUAGGGAUUAUGACUAUUAACUGCUUAAUCAGUCGUAUCCUAUGGACUAGACCGAAUUGACAAUACCCGUUUGAUACCCAAGAAGAACACGACUGAUCAAGGGCACAUGUUAAUAUGAAUAACCAGCCAGAUUUCUCUGGCUCACUUUCAUAUCAUAUUCGCAGAAUUAAUGAAAUGCGGAUUCCCCAUAAUGAAAUGCGGAUUCCCCACUGUAUACAAUAUAUUCGAAACUACUAUUUAAUCGUUCUUUUUCGGUUUCUGAAGACUCCAAAUUGAAAUUUCUAUUUCAAAAUGAAGUUUGUUGGUAC